GCAUUAAAACUUCUUCCAUUUCCUACCCCUGCCAGUCAUCUGGUCUAUUAGGUUCAGCAUGAUUUUCUUCUGUAUCACUAUCGGGAUAAGCUACAUUGACAUGGCCAUCCACUCCCUCAUCUUCUUCUUCCUUUACUGCUAAGUAUUCCAGAGCUGUUACAACAUCGCUCAUUAUUGGCCGAGUAGUAGCUUCCUCUUGGAGACACAUAGCUGCAACUGCAAGUGCUUGAUAAAGACCCUUAAUAGGAUAAUUCCCUUCUAACAAUGGGUCUGCCAUUA
rnacentral:misc_RNA from 1 species